UACGUAGGGUGCGAGCGUUAAUCGGAAUUACUGGGCGUAAAGCGUGCGCAGGCGGUUUUGUAAGUCUGUCUUGAAAUCCCCGGGCUUAACCUGGGAAUUGCGAUGGAGACUGCAAGGCUAGAAUCUGGCAGAGGGGGGUAGAAUUCCACGUGUAGCAGUGAAAUGCGUAGAGAUGUGGAGGAACACCGAUGGCGAAGGCAGCCCCCUGGGUCAAGAUUGACGCUCAUGCACGAAAGCGUGGGGAGCAAACAGG
rnacentral:rRNA from 1 species